rnacentral:lncRNA from 1 species
UUAUAAUACGUGUCUCUUGAGUAGAGUCUAAUUCUAAUUCAAUUAGAAUUAUACUCCUAAUUAUAAUCCAUAUAUGCCGAAUUAAAUCUAAAUAAUAUCUAAUCCCAAUUAGAUUAGGAUUUAUCCUCAAUUUAGAUAACUACAAAUCUAAACCAAAUAUAACAAUCUCCACCUUGAUUUAAUUUGUAGUUUAGCCGCUUUUAUGUCGAGAUCGUCACAAACUUCACCUUGAAUUUAAUUUGCCUCAAUGCUCCUGUCACGCCCCGGGGCCGAUUUUAAAAGCCUUUUGAAAACAGAGUUGCGAAAAACGUGCCAUUUUUUUUUUCAAUCUGGCCCACGCGACGUACAGAUCCGCCACAAAUACAAAAUUUUCCUGUCCACUCGGACAGAGUCUCCUUUAUAUUUGCACGGCGUACCAGCUAUACAACAGGAUCUCAACCACAACCUACAUUUACCAAUCAGCAAUCAGUUCAUGACAUGCAUUCCCAUACAGCUAACGAUCCUUAGAAUGAUGCAUGCCUCUAAACACUCCUUAGGCGCUGGAUGAUGCAAUGCACAACACAACAAACAUCUUAUUUAAAAGUGCUCCCCACCCGGAAGCUUUAUUUUUUUGAAAUGUACUUCAUUCACAAAACCAUUCGAAAAUCCUUUUUAAAACGGUUUCCUACACGGAAACUCUAUUUUAAAAACCGACUACCUCGAGGGGUAGAAAACCACGAUUUCAUAAAUACAAGAAAAUCAAAACUCCAAAAUUCCAAGACCACAGAUCUAAAUAUCCAAUCUUAUGCAUAGUAGAAAACCAGUAUAACAGUUCACAACCAUUCACGCAUACAUAAGAUCGUCUAACUGAACCAUUUAUUAAGAAAACUACUAAGUGCGGGAAAGAAGUAAUCAGGGUGACGGUCGCUACUGCCGUCUAGCUAGAUCGUCCUCUCGACGUGCCCAAUACCAACUCCACGUCCGAAACACCUGAAGAAAUGGGGGGUGAGAAACCGCAACCAUGGUUUCUCAGUGGUACAAUAGAGCCACGAAGGCAAGCCGUAAUCACCGGAAACCAAAGAAAAUAGAUAAACAAAUAUAGAUGCUGAUAUGAAAAGUCUACAGUAGCUACAACAGAUAAAUAAGAAGCAAUAAACAAACCUGCUACUGUAUAGAUAACAAUGCAAAGAAUGCCUCAAAGUACUGAACAGAAACUGUACCCAAUCUGUGCCUGCUGUAUUGGUCCGCAGACCUCAAGCGCUGCCUGUCACUAACUGCACCGACCUGAUCCAUCCGCCCCACAGGACGACCCAUCCGGAUAAGUACACCUCCGAUCGUUGGCCAAACCGAUCCGGUGUCAUGAAUACCCCCAAGUGCCGUGACUAAGUCAUGCUGGUAUGCUCAAACAAAAACAAACCCGGCUAAAGCCGGUGCCUAAGCCGAAGCCAACAACGAGGGCGUACAACGCCGAACUGAAAUAGAUACUAGGGCGUACAACGCCGAACCUCGAUCAACCAGAUCGAAACACACGAUAAGAGAGUCGAUGUGUUGCCUGGACCCAAGGUCCACGGAGAUGCAAUGUACAACUACAAGCCUGCUCUACAUGUCUAUCCACAACUAUACAAAUGCAAUCAAUGAAAUACGAUAACCAAACAACUGACAUGUAGAGAUUACGAUACAGAAUGAAAGAAUAGAGGAAGGGUAAAACGGUCUCACCGACUACUAGCUCGAAGCACCCACCUGUCACUGUCGCGUCGAAAACCCGGGGUGCGCACAAUCAAUAACCGGACCUACGAAGAUCCACUAGGUCAGAACUAUCCCACAAAACCCAAAUAUACAACUCACAAACCCCCACACAGGAUCCCCGUAAUCGGUUUCCCAAAACCGAUUACCGUAACUCACCGAAAGUCCCGAAAACCACACCGGGACGCCGUCGGGACCCACUAAGUGUCCCGAACUCACCGACUCGUACAACGAGUCACCCGCUGCCCCAAAACAUUCCAAUUUGGAUGCCUUGGCAGCGAACACAAGGUCACACAACAAUACGAUCAUCGCCGGAUAAUCGUACGAAUCCGGGUUCCCAGAAGUGUCUAUUUCGACACCGGAACCCUCCGUCGCUCACCCAUCAUCACCGAACCCACUAAAUGACGAUAGUGAUAAGCCAACAAGGCUUAGCUACAACACAUAGAGCAAACAAACACCGUCGGAAAGGAUCCGAACCAAAAUCGCAUUCUUUCGGCGAAUUUCGCCGAAAAACGCACCGAAAUCGACUUUUCGAUUUCCGCAGGAGCAAACGGAUCAUGGACAAUCAGUUCAGGAGUCAAACACACUCACACACACUGCCCACAGUAGCCACACAAUGCACAAUUACAUAAAAGACCCUCUAAUUGCAUAAAAUCCCAUUAUUUUAUGUAAUUUGAGCGAUCAAGUGGUUCGUUCACGCAAAUCGAAAUUCCAAAGUCCGCAGAGACACGUACUAACAGGUCUCGACGUACCAGAGGCCGUGCUCACGAUCCGGAGCACAGCGGCUCGCUGUGGGAAGCGCGGGAGCAACCCGAAGGUUCAGCGAACAGCGCGCAGUCAAGGAAGAUCGCGCCGAACAGGACUUACCGGACACUUCUGAUCCAAGGAAAGGUGAGCACUGUGAUCAGCACUGACUAGCGGUCACCGUGCUCACCUCCGGAGGCAUCGGAACAAUCUCGGAUCGGCGAAAAAGCAAGCACAACACAGAACAGCAGCCAAAGAAAGGCUCCACAGGGUCGACACCGCAAAAACAGCGGAAUGGAGUCUCCCCGACAGAAACUAAGGUGAGCACGAUGAUCAGCAAUUAGCUACGAUCAUCGUGCUCCCUUCCAUACAGAUCGGGGAAGCUCGAGAAGCCCAGAACAACAAACAGCCCAACUAAGCCCUAUUUCAGGCUUGGCCGGAGCAACCUUGCUCCGGCCGGCCUCCGGCGGCACAGCGGCGCGCGCGGGGGCCAGGGGCGGACGCGGGGGAGGUGAGGAACACAGUGCUCAACUCGGUUGGCGACAGGAAGCGGCGGCGGCGCCGGCGGGGCAAGAUGAGCCCGCACGGGCUAGGGCACGGGUUCCGCGGCAAUGGCGGCCACGGCGGCGGUCGGGGCCGGUCGGGGACGGCGGAGGAGGGUUGCAGGAGGUAGGGGGAGGGCGGCACAGGUGGCUCAGGGCGGCGGCGGCGCCAGGAAAGGGGCUGCACACGGCUUCGGCUCGGGCUCGGGUUGGAGGGCUGCAGGCGGCUCGCCCGGCGGCAGCGGCGCUCAGGGCGGCUCGGGGCAGAGGCGGCAGACUGCCUGAGGUUGGGGAGGUGCCACAGGGGCGGCCCAGGGCUGCGGCGACGCGAGGAAGAGAUCGCAACAGGUCUCGGCCUGGGCUCGGGCUGGGCGGCUGCAGCCGGCCGAGGCGGCGGCGGCGGCGCGGUGGGGCGGCGGCGACCGGCGGUAAGGGGUGUCGAGGCUCCGUGGACGUCGGCGGGAGGGAUUCCAGGCGGCGGCGGCGCAGGAGGGAGGUCGCGAGUGGGUCUCGGCCAGGGCUCGGCUUGGGCUGGCAGAUGUGGCCCGGGGCAGCAGCGGCGGCGCAGGCGACGGCGGCGGUCGGCGGGGAUGAUCGCCGGAGCACGGGGCGACACCGAGGGAGGGUCCGAAGGUGGCGGCAGUCUCGGGUCUCCUCACAACCCGAGAGGAGAGAGGGAGAACGAAAGAAAGGGAGAGAGAGAGAAGUGGUGGCUGCGGCGGUGGUUGGCCGGCCGGGGCUCAGUCGGCGGCGGCCUGGGCGCGCGCAGCAGGUGCAGGGGAAGGAGAGGGAGGCGGCUGGGUGGUUGGCUAGGGCUAGGUUAGGGUUAGGUGGAACAAAACCCUAAAGAGCAACUAUAUAUACAAGGUACAACUUGCAAGAAAGCCCCUCAAACAUCAGUAAUUUGUACCGAGUCCCUCGCAGCACGACUAAAACGCACGAAUACCCCUCCACGUGCGAUCCCACGCGAAACGGUACAUAAAAUAUCGCGACUUUUGUGAAAAUACCGUUUUGCCACUACUGACCUCUCCUCGAUCAACGCGUAAUCUCCGCAGAUCCGUCCGUCAGAUUCGCGAACGGAUCAUACCAGUACGAUCAACACGACGGAGACAACAAAGCUGCGAUUUCGUUUCGGCUUGAUCGCCCACGGAUUCACGACAAAAUCCAACCUUCUUCCAGCAGAAGAAAUCACACACAUAAAUACAUAUAGAAUAUAUAUUUUUGGAUUUUCUCGAAAUCCGUGCGUCAAACUCAAAAUCCGUCAGCGCCACUGGUUCCAGAACAGCUGAACCGGUCGAAACGAGCUAUUGGACUGCUAUGAACGGAGUCCGGUACGAGCCAGAAGCCAACUUCCCACCGCGGCUUCUCCGGAAAAUCGAGUUACUAUUCACUUUAAGUGAAACUUGGAAAUCGCGUAGAAUUUUCGUUUUAACUCGUUUUCGCCCGAAACUUGACGAGUGCUUUUGUAAUUAAAUUACACACAAAAAUAUUGUCAACUGAGAGUUUAACUACACUUCAAAAAUCUCAGUUCGUACAGCUCCUUAACGCUCCAUACUCCGUCUUCUCCAAACGCCCCAUAGGGCCUCAAAUGCUGCUAACUACAUUCAAGUUCAAACAAUACUUGAACUUGGUAAUCGUAAGAGACUUAGUAAGCAUAUCCGCCGGAUUGUUCUCAGUACCAAUUUUCUUAACAGUCACUGUGCGUUUCCCAAUCACAUUCCGAACAAAGUGAAACUUUACAUCGAUGUGCUUUGUCCUCUCAUGAAACAUUUGAUCUUUCGACAAAUGAAUAGCACUUUGAUUGUCUGAAUAAAUAAUCGUUGGAUCCCAAUAAGAAGUAAGCUCUCCAAAUAAGUCUCUUAACCACAUAGCUUCCUUCACACCCUCUGUUAUAGUAAUAUAUUCCGCCUCCGUCGUAGACAAGGCGACAAUAGGUUGUAAUGAAGCUUUCCAACUAACUGCACAUCCGCCAAUAGAGAAUACAUAACCUGAAAGUGAUCUCCUCCUAUCCAAAUCACCUGCAAAAUCCGAAUCAUUAUAUAUGAGUUAGGUGAAGCUAUCCUGGUUGAGAAUCUCAUCUAAUUAUGUGUACAAUUUUGAGGUAAAAGUCUACAUGCCUAGCAUUGUAGCUUCUGCAAUUGUAAUGUAAAAGAGUUAAAAUAGGAAAAGUGCACCUUGUGCAUAUGCGUUCGUAUAAAAGAUUCCUUAUAUAGUAGAGGUAUAUACAUGUACUAAUUAAUCAACUUUAGGACAAAGAUGCAAGGAAUUUCGAGCCGUACACCUUUAAUUAAUUUGCUUUAGAAUUGGUUCCCUCUUAAAGUGGCAAGUAAAGAAUCAAAGUUUCCUAGCUUGAAUUUCUGAUUUCACCAAGUGGCAAGCCAAAUUAUAGACCAUUGAAGUCUGUCUGUCUCACCAAAAGUGGAGUGGAGAGUGAAUUCAUUUUUAGUAUAAAUGUUCACUUCUGUUGUUUGGCUCACCUCAUAUAACUUCAUUUUCAGUCGAUGCUUAAACUUUUCAAAACUCCGUAAUUGACUUCAGACUACUUUGGGCCGAAAUCAGUUGCGAAAAACAAAAGUGAGGAAAAAAAAUAAAAUAUUAAGUAUGGAAACUUUAGCUUUUAUGUCAUUAACUUUGUAAUGCCCCCAAUAGUCUCAUAUCGAAUGGAAUACUAACUCUGAUCAGUUUAUAUGAGGCCUAUAUGUUAGUAAUAAUAACUGGACUUAAACAUUUUGGGCCGGUGGUUUGAAUCGAACGAGUUAUUGUUGCUAGCGGAUUGGACCGUUACAAACUUUCUGCCAAACACAUAGCAAAACUCGAGAAAAAAAAUUAUUUUGAGAUUCUAGACUAUAUCCAGCAUAGGACUUCCGACUAAUAUUUGGCUUUAAUACCAAUUACAACGGCCCAACCCGCUAGCAAUAAUAACUCGUUGAACCCAAACUACUGACCCAAAAUACUUAAGUCCAAUUAUUAUUACUAGCAUGUAUGUCUUAUAUAUUCUAAUCCGAAUAAGUUUCCCACCUGAUGUGGGACUAGGACGUUACAGAAAAUAACUAAGUUUUAAUUUUAUUUUAAAUUUUUAUAAAACAAAUUAUGUUUCUCAAAAUUAAUUUACUAUUUUUUUAAAAAAAUAAAAUUAUCAGCAUGAAACGCAUGGGUCAGCAACCAAUUUAUUUUGAAAUUAAUUAGUCAAAUACUAUAUAAAUCAAAGAAUCGCCAACUCAACACCAUUAGUUUGCUUUAAAAUGAUUUUUUUUUUUUUCAAAAUUGCACGUAUAGAAUGAUACUUUCAUACCCAAAAAUAUAAUUUGUCUAGAGAGUUAAAAACAGGAAAUAAAUUUGGUAGGUAAUUACUAAAUCUAUCUCCAGAUCCAUCUCUUGUUUACUUGCUUUAGAAUUUGUUCCUUUCCAACAUAACAAGUAAGGAAUCAGACUCUUUUUUUCUUUUCUUUUUAACUCCUACCUGCCUAUAAAUACAUUCUAUUCUAGUUGUUCCCUUAGCAAGUUGAAAGCCUUAUACUCUCAUAUGGCAAGGAAGACCUAUACUAUGGAUUUGCCGAUACCGAGCUGAGUGAAUGAGCGCAUGAAGGAAUGUUUUGGAAAGCGGUAGGAAGAUACGGUGUUCGAUACUCGCCUAAAUGGACACAACCAGCCAUUUGGAUCUGUCUGGUGUUUUUUCUCCUUAACGCACAAAUAGGCAUUUAGUCAUUCGGAUUCUAUCUGGACUCUUCCUCCUUGACGCACAAAUAGACAUUUAGUCAUUCAGGUAUGCAUAUAUUUAAUUUCUUACAUAUUCUUACCACUUAUUGUUUGUUGUUUCGUUAUUUUUCUGAUUUUGUUAUUGGUUAUUGCAACUGAGGUUUAAGGCUUCUUUUUAUUCAAUAGGGAUUAAGUUUCUUAGAUAAUACAAUUAAUCGACUGUAAAAAAGAAACUCCUAACAAUAUAAGAUAACUAUUCAUUAAAAUCAAGCUUAGAAGGAAGGAAAUGAUAUUCUAAUGUGAUAUGUAAUUAAGAGAAUUUAUUAUGAUUAUAUGCCUGAACACAUUAUAUAUAAUAUCUAUUGGAUUUCGAAGGGAGUCAACACUCUAUUGCUUUAUUUUAGUUUUCCUUCGCAUUCUUUUAUGGCCUAAUUGUAAUCGCCAUUUACUUGUUCAUCCAAACUCACAACUCUUAAAACUUAGAUGAAAACUAUGCUAUAUGGUUUAUGAAACAAUAUAUAAUAGUGUUUUUUUAACAUAGCUUUCUUUUUUUCAACUAUUUGAUACUUUAGCAAUAGUUUUAAAAUCUAUAAUUUUUCAUGUCUAAACUAUGUAGGGUUCUAUAUAACCUUUGAGUGUGCGUGUGUGUGUUUGUGCAAGGAAAAAUUCUAGAAUGCAACAGGUAUAUUGAUGACGUGGCGUAACAAGCCAAUCAAAUAUCUCCUUUUAGAAAUAUAUGUUCCAUCAUAAUUAUAAAAAAAUAUUUUUAUUGUACUUUUAUUUGAAAAGAAGAAAUGUGAUUGGCUUGUUAUUGAUGACGUGGUGCAAGUGUGACAGUGUAGAAUUCCCCAUGUGAGAGAGAGAGAGAGAGAGAGAGGGAGGUAGCUGCUUCGUUUAAUUUGUUUUUAAAAAUGCGUCCAGCUAGAAAUGCAAAAUAAUUAGGCUUCGUUCAGUUUGGAUAUAAAUAAAAAUGACUUAUUUCAAAAAUAAAUAUAAAUUUAGAUAUAAAUAAGAAACUAGACCAAUUUUACAUUUAGAUGAAAAUUGGUUGUUUUUAAAAAUAAGAAAAAUUACGUUUGGAUAGAGAAAUAGAAUAAGAAAAAUAGUAAGUAGUUAUAAUGUCACGCCCCGGGGCCGAUUUUAAAAGCCAUUUUGAAAACAGAGUUGCGGAAAACGUGCCAUUUUUUAUUUUUUUUUUCAACCUGGCCCACGCGACGUACAGACCCGCCACAAAUACAAAGAUCCUCUGUCCACUCGGACAGAGUCUCCUUUGUAUUUGCACGGCGUACCAGCUAUACAACAGGAUCUCAACCACAACCUACAUUUACCAAUCAACAACCAAAGUAUGAUAUGCANUGGCUUCUCCGGAAAAUCGAGUUACUAUUCACUUUAAGUGAAACUUGGAAAUCGCGUAGAAUUUCCGUUUUAACUCGAUUUCGCCCGAAACUUGACGAGUGCUUUUGUAAUUAAAUUACACACAAAAACAUCGUCAACUGAGAGUUUAACUACACUGCAAAAAUAUCAGUCCUCACAUAUAAAUAGAAAAAUGAUAUUAUCCCUCUUGUUAUAUUUGAAUUUAAAUUUUUAAAUUUUAAAUUUUUAUUGUUAAAGUUAAAAUUUUAACUUUUAAAUUUUAAAAUCUGAAAUUAAAAUUUAAAGUUAAACUCUCUUAUUUUAAAUUUCAAAAUUUUAAAAUUUAAAUUUUAAAUUUUAAAUUUUAACAUUUAAAUUUUAAAUUUUAAAUUUUGAAUUUUAAAAUUUAAGAUCUAGUUUAAAUUUAAAAAUAUAAAAUAUCAAAAUUUAAAUUUAAAAAAUAUAAAAAUAUCAAAUUUAAAUUUAAAAUUUAGAAUUUAAAAUUAUAACUUUUAUUUUUAACAUUACAAAUUAUUAAUUUUAAAAAUUUAAAAUUAAAAUUAAAAUUAAAAUUUUUAAUUUUUAAAUUUAAAAAAAAAAAUAGGGGUGGGAACCAGCAGUUCCCACCCCUGUUUCACCUGAGGGUGGGAACAAGCAAUUCCCAUCUUUAAUUAGUAUAUAUUUGUGUUUGGGUACGAAAGGGGAUAAGAGCUUAUUCCUCCUCUUGUACCCAGUCCGGCUCGUAGUAGGGUUCAAAAUUGAAAACCUCGAAUACCAGCCAUCAACUGGCAUCAAGCUUUUAGUCAAUUACGCUAGAUAUAUACAAUCGACAGCACCGGAUUACAUUUUAAUGCUUAAGCACAAUUAGAGCUUCAUAGAUGAUUUGAAUUAAUUUGCAUGAUUUGAGAAGAUUUCAUAAGUAUAAACAAAUCUGAUAUUUUGGGAUUGGAUUUACCAUAAUUUUUGUUCUUUUACAUUUAAGAAAAGUAAUCUAACCUUAAAAAAAAACUCUUUGUAAUUUUUUUAUAAACCACGUGACUAAGGAGAAAUUGCAAUCAAAGGCAUUUCACGCCCCAAAUAAACUAACUUAAAAAUCACAAAAUGUGAUUCUAUUUUGUUUAGGCACUAGAAAGAGUAAAUAUUUAAGCCAUUUUUUAAACAGGCCCUUAACUUGUAGUUUUCUAGCUAUUUAAAUCCGCUUAACUUAUGAAUUUUUUAAAAUUAAGUUAUUUUAGACUGAAAAUUAGAGUAUUUUAUCAAAUUUAUUAGCAAUUUCACCAAAUCUAAUGACUUUAAUUAAUUUUAAGCAUAGAGGUGAGAGGGUCUCCUUACAUUUUUACUUUUAUUUAUCUAUAAUUAAUAAAAUCAGAAGCCGAAGCUUUGGAUUAUUUUUAUCAAAUGGCAAGCCAAAAUAUAUAGUUGAUGCAUGACAACCUUAUUUACGACAAUUACAUUAUUUAUAACUAAAAGAAUUUUAGAUUAUUAAGCAAUCAGUGUAUUUAUCUAUAACUACAUCGAUCUAAUGUAUAAUCUUAGCCAAUCUUAUUUUUUUAAAAAAAAAAUUAUCUAUGCAAAUAAUUACGCUUUAGAUUUUUUUUAUAAAUUUUUAUAAAUCUAUUUUUUUAAAUUAGCUUUUUAUUUUUUUCAAAAAAAAAAGAUUUUAAAAAAUAUUCAUGUGGAACGCGUGGGUUAACGGCAAGGUCAACGACUAGUUUAUUUUGAAAUUAAUCAACCCGAGAAUACGGAAGCAAAGAAUUUCCAAUUCUACAAUUUUGAUUUGCUUUAAAAUGAGUUCUAUUCUAAAGUGGCAAGCAAAGAAUUAUACUUUUGUAGUUGAAACUUCUGCUUUCGCUAAGCGACAUGCCAAAUUGUUGACAUGUGGAAAUCUUACUAUGACAAUUAAUGUUUUUAUAAUUAAAAUAAGUUUAGACUAUUGUGGAAAGAGUUAAAAAUAGAAAAGAAAUUCAAGUAUCCAAUCAGUAUAUUAAUUUAUAGAUUAAUGACUAGUUUAGUUAGAAAUUGACCUAUGUCUCUAAUUUUUGUUAAAAUGGGUUCCUUACUAAAGUAGUGAGUAACGAAAUUAUGCACAUGCGAUGACAUUUCUAUGAUUUGAAAUGGUUCUAUAUAGGAGAUAUAAUAGGACUAAACCUUUUAAUCUGAUUAAAGUAUUUUGAACGGUGGCUUGGUUUAAAAAGUUAAGACAGUUAAGCGUGUUAGGAUUAGACUAGUUCUAGGAUUGAUGACCCCUUGGAAAGCGAGGCAUCACUUUUUUUUUAGGAGAAACACGCCCUAAGGUGAAUUUAUUUAGCAAUCGGUAGGUACAACUUGAGAGAAUUCAUCUACAGAGGACCAAAAAGACAGUUUGUUGCUAGAGAGCCCCCAGUAGGCCAAACGAUCUGCAACUACAAUAUUUUUAGAAUAUCUUGAAGACCGUCCAUAGCUAAAUUGCUUGGAGCUUUCAAGAAAAUUUUGAAGAUCCGUGAUUCUUGUUCGAGCUUCAUCUGUUAGCGAAUCUGAAUGAUAGCUCCUAAAAUGCAAGGCUUUGAUGAUGGGUGCUGAAUCUGAGUAGAUAUGAAAAGUUUCUCCCGGAUACCUUUGCAACAAAAGAUUUGUCGCUCGGGAAAUUGCUCCAAUUUUCGCUGAGCAGGCAUCAUGGACAUCCUUCAGUACAUCAGAUAUGCACAUAAUGAUUUCAUGCUGAUUGGCAAUCAGGCAUCCUACACCACCUGUAGUACCACCUUUCCAACUCCCAUCCACCCAUACUUGUAAGGAAAAGGUCGCAGGUUCUUGAAUCAGAGUUGGGUCCUGUAUGCUAAUCCUCAUCAUGUUCUCUUUAGAAUAUAAGGUCGUCCAGCUGCGAGCCCGUGAAAUGAUGGCAGUGAUGUUGAAAUUUUUUCCUUCAAAAAUCAUCUCAUUUCUUCCUUUCCAUAAGCUCCAUAAUAGAUGAACACAGAAAGCCCUAUGAGUCGCCAUGUCUUUAUUAGUUAGGAUAAAGAAAAUCUAAAAGGACGGAGGCCUAUCCGCAUUAUCAAUUAGAAGGCCUAUACUGGAUGCGAACCAGACAUGUCGUGUUUGCUCACAAUUAAAAAAUAAAUGUACCAACGUCUCAGGCUCUUGUAGGCAAAACGGGUAGAGUCCAUUAAAGUUAGGUAGUCUCGAGGCUAGUGCGGCUCCAACUGGUAACGUGUCUGCUACUAGUCUCCAGAAAAAUACUUUAGCUCGAGGCAUCACAUUUUUUAUGCCCCAAACUUUUCCCCAGAUAGUAUGCUGGUUUUCAUGUGGCUGAUGCAAUUAGCUAUGAUCCAGACCAUCGUUUAAAUGAUUGAUAGCGGAUCGCAGGGUGAAGCGGCUAGAUUCGGAGAAUUUCCAUCGUAGUUGUUCAGAAUUUUGGACCACAGCGUUCGCCAUGAAAUUACGGAUUUGUAACAUAGAGCGCCAAAUAGGUGAAACUACAAGUCUGUUUUGAGCCGACCAGAAGCUGAGAUUGUUAGCCCGAUUGUACUUGUUCGCCAGAACCUGUGCCCAUAAUGAUGUUGGCCUUGUGAGGAGCGACCACACCAAUUUGCAUACUAGGGCGCGAUUAAGCGUUGACAGGGAUGGUAUACCAAUCCCCCCGAGUUCCCUGUUUGUAGUUAGUUUUGUCCAUGCCUUUGGGUAAUAAUGGUGACCUCCUGGCUUGAAGCCCCACCAGAAAUCUCGAAUAAUUUUUUCCAUUUGGGGAAGAAAUUUUGCAGGAAGUAGAAUGAAACAAAUAGAGUAUCGAGGUACCGCUAGGAGCACCGAUUGUAUAAGAGUGAGACGCCCCGCAUGCGAUAGAUUUCUAGCUUUCCAUCCAGCUAAUCUGCUUUGUAGUUUAUCAAUGAUGAAACUGAAGGUGUUGGUUAGGGACCAUUCCAAGCAUCACACCUGCUGCAAUUUAGUUUAUGGCCAUUAUAUUUUUAUAAUUAAAAAUGUUUAAACUACAGUGGAAAGAGUUAAAAAUAGAAAAUACAUUUGGACUGGGAAUCAACAGAGUCUUAUCCAUCCAUCUUUAAUUAAAUUUUCUUUGAAAAUAAUUAGGUUUUAAGGUUAUUAUGAUUUUUUAUAAAAUAAAUUAGUUGUCUUAAAAUUAAUUUACUAUUUAUUAAAAAAAAAGAAAUAUCAGUGUGCAACUAAGGGUUUAGCAACUAAUUUAUUUUAAAAUUAAUUGAUCCAAAAUUACAAAUCAAAGAAUCCCCAACUCUACAUCUUUAGUUUGCUUUAAAAUAGAUUUUUUUUUUUUCCAAAGUGGCAAAUAAAGAAUGAUACUUCUAUAGGUAAAGUUUUUACUUUCGGUCAACAGCACGCCAGAUUAUUUACGUAUGUGACAAUCCUUUUUAAGACAAUAAUUUUAUUUGUAUAAACCAUUAAAACUAGAAAAUAAAUUUUGGUAUGCAAUUAGUAAAUCUAUCUGUAGUUGCAUCUUAAAAAAAUUUGCUUGCUUUAAAAUAUAUUCCUUUCCAACAUAGCAAGUAAAGAGUUAGACUUUAUUUCUCACAUAUACUUGCUUAUUAAUACAUUACUUUCUAAUUGUUUUGUUCAGCAAGUUGAAAGCCAUUUGGAUCUCUCUGCGGCUCUUUAAUUUCUCAUUUAAUCAUUCGGGUACGCACACAUUUAAUUUCUUGCAUUAUUCUUAUUACUUAUCAUUUGAAUUUUGUUUCGUUAUUUUUCUGAUUUUAUUAUUGGUUAUUAUAAUUGAGAUUUAAGGCUUCUUUUUAUUCAAUAGGGAUUAAGCCCCUUAAAUAACACUAGUGUAGUAACUCGCGCGAUGCGGCGAAUAAAUAAUAGAAGAAAAAAUAAAAAAUAUUGAAGAAGAAGAAGAAAGGAGUUUGGAAAAUAAAAAAUUCAAGUGUGUUUUAUUUUUUGGGUAGGAAAAUGUAUGAAUUGAACUAACCAAUAUAAGUAUUGAAAAUUGAUACCUGCCGAAUCACCAUUUAAAGAAAAAACCUACAAAGGUCGUAUGAAGAUGGAGAUGAUAAUGUUGCGAUCAUGACAACGAUGGCGAUGAAAAUAUCAUAGAAGUUUGUAUGAUUUUGCACCCUUUUGGGCAUGGAAUGGUCAGAACUUGCGAGCCAGAACUGCCACAUUAAUUAUGAAAU